rnacentral:rRNA from 1 species
CCUACGGGUGGCAGCAGUGGGGAAUAUUGGGCAAUGGGCGCAAGCCUGACCCAGCAACGCCGCGUGAAGGAAGAAGGCUUUCGGGUUGUAAACUUCUUUUCUCAGGGACGAAGCAAGUGACGGUACCUGCGGCAUAAGCCACGGCUAACUACGUGCCAGCAGCCGCGGUAAUACGUAGGUGGCAAGCGUUAUCCGGAUUUACUGGGGGUAAAGGGCGUGUAGGCGGGGACGCAAGUCAGAUGUGAAAACCACGGGCUCAACCUGUGGCCUGCAUUUGAAACUGGGUUUCUUGAGUACUGGAGAGGGAGACGGAAUUCCUAGUGUAGCGGUGAAAUGCGUAGAGAUUAGGAGGAACACCAGUGGCGAAGGCGGUCGGCUGGACAGCAACUGACGCUGAGGCGCGAAAGCGUGGGGAGCAAACAGGAUUAGAUAUCCGUGUAGUC